rnacentral:rRNA from 1 species
UACGGAGGGUGCAAGCGUUAUCCGGAUUCACUGGGUUUAAAGGGUGCGUAGGUGGACAGGUAAGUCCGUGGUGAAAUCCUAUAGCUUAACUAUAGAACUGCCAUGGAUACUAUUUGUCUUGAAUAUCGUGGAGGUAAGCGGAAUAUGUCAUGUAGCGGUGAAAUGCUUAGAUAUGACAUAGAACAUCGAUUGCGAAGGCAGCUUACUACGCGAUUAUUGACACUGAGGCACGAAAGCGUGGGUAGCAAACAGG